AUUGAACGCUGGCGGCAUGCCUUACACAUGCAAGUCGAACGGUAACGCGGGGAAACCUGGCGACAAGUGGCGAACGGGUGAGUAACACAUCAGAAUGUGUCCAGUAGUAUGGAAUAGCUCGACGAAAGUCGGGGUAAUGCCGUAUAUUGCUUGAGAGCAAAAGAGGGGGAUCGCAAGACCUCUUGCUACUGGAGUAGCUGAUGUCAGAUUAGGUAGUUGGUGAGGUAAAGGCCCACCAAGCCAACGAUCUGUAGCUGGUCUGAGAGGACGAUCAGCCACACUGGGACUGAGACACGGCCCAGACUCCUACGGGAGGCAGCAGUGGGGAAUUUUGGACAAUGGGGGAAACCCUGAUCCAGCCAUGCCGCGUGCGGGAAGAAGGCCUUAGGGUUGUAAACCGCUUUUGUCAGGGAAGAAAAGCCUCAAAAAAAUAUUUUGAGGUCAUGACGGUACCUGAAGAAUAAGCACCGGCUAACUACGUGCCAGCCGCCGCCGUAA
rnacentral:rRNA from 1 species